GUUAAUUCAAAACUCCCCCUAUCUGCCUGCUGCAGCAAUGGCGGCUCCCAUGUCCUGGAGGAGGCUGGUGUACUCUGUGUACACACCGGCCUUUGCCGGUGUCUUCACACGAAUAUCGGAUCGAUUCUUUCGCGCACGGGACAGAAGAAAAGGGUCCUCUGUGCUCCUGCUGGCCCCCCUCCUGGCUGAGGCAGAGCCGGCCCCCCACUGUGUCCCCCGGUCGGCAGGACUUAAGGAGACCGAUGGCCUUCUCACACAAUUCCAGUGGAUGGCUGAGCACGCGCCCGGCUUCAGGGUGCCAGGCGCGCACAUCCACAUACUGUCCUCCCCCAGUCAGUUCUACCAAGCCAUCAAGUCGCGGAUCAAAACAGCCAAACAGCGCGUGGUGAUGGCCUCGCUGUACCUGGGCACGGGCCAACUGGAGCAGGAGCUGGUGGACUGUGUGGAGGAGGCCCUGGCGCGCUCCCAGCAGCCAGGCGACGGGCCUGCACUGCAGGUCUCCAUCCUGCUCGACUACAUGCGAGGAUCACGAGGCCGGCAGAAUUCCCGCACCAUGCUGCUGCCGCUGCUGCAGCGUUACGCGUCCCAGAUGCGGGUGUCCCUGUACCACACUCCUGACCUGCGGGGCCUGCUGCGCCUGCUGAUGCCCCAGCGCUUCAACGAGACCAUCGGAGUGCAGCACAUCAAGGUGUACCUGUUCGACGACAGCGUCAUCAUCAGCGGGGCCAACCUGAGCGACUCGUACUUCACCAACCGCCAGGACCGCUACGUCCUGCUGGAGAACUGCAAGGAGGUGGCGGACUUCUUCGCCUCACUGGUGGGGGCCGUGGGGGACGUCUCACUGCAGCUGCACCCGGACGACUCGGUGUCCAUGCUGGAGGGCAGGGUGCACCCGUACAACGGCAACCGAAAGGAGUUCUCGGCGUCGGCCAGGGAGCACAUCAUGGGGGUGGUGAACACGGCGCGCCUGAGGCAGCACCUGUCCCGCCACUGGCAGGACGAGGAGGAGGAGGAGCAGGCGGAGAGGAAAAAGGAGCAGCAGCAGGAGGAUGAGGAGGAGGGGGAGGAAGAUGAUAGGGACACAUGGGUGUUCCCCCUGGUCCAGAUGAAGCCCCUGGGGAUCAACAUGGACGAGCAGGUCACCCAGCGUCUGCUGACCAAGGGCGGCGCCGACGCCACGGUGUUCCUGACCUCGGGCUACUUCAACCUGACCCGCGCCUACAUGAGGCUGGUGCUGGGCGCCGCCGCCGACUACCGCAUCCUCACCGCCUCGCCGGAGGUCAACGGCUUCUACGGCGCCAAGGGCGUGGCCGGCGCCAUCCCCGCCGCGUACGUGCACAUCGCCCGGCAGUUCUACGGCAACGUGCGGCGGCUGGGCCAGCAGGAGCGCGUGCACCUCUACGAGUAUCACCGGCCGCAGUGGACCUUCCACGCCAAGGGUCUGUGGUUCUACCUGGGAGGCCAGGACCGGCCGUGUCUCACGCUCAUUGGCUCGCCUAAUUUCGGCUACCGCUCGGUUCACCGUGACCUGGAGGCCCAGAUCGCCAUAGUAACAGAGAAUCGGGAACUGCGGGCCCAGCUCCAGGAGGAGCACGAAAGGUUGUACCAGAGGUCCUCUGAGGUCUCCCUCGCCACGUUUGAGCGUCCCGACUGCUUUGUCAAGCUGUGGGUUAAACUGGUCACGCCGGUCCUCAAGAACUUCUUCUGAGAGUCAUUGUGGUGAGAAGCGAUUCCCAGCCCCAGGGCUCCGGUCUUCCCAGCAGCCGUACCAAAUCCACACGGGUCGAGGGAGAACAAUGUGGCGACUUGCUUUGAUGACUCUGUGAAGGAGUGCAGCACCUUGACAAGGGGACAGACAUGCUGGGGGGGUGGACUUCUUCAGCCAUGCCUUCGCCAUCACCCCCUUCUGAGGGUCCGCCGCAAAACUACUGGUUGAAAAUAUAAUCACUGUAACACUCCUCAUCUCAGUAAUGUUUGUAUGGGCUCCUUGUCCUGAGCUGGUUUACAUGUUACUAACCGCAGAGCACAGUGGGGUCUUGCCUUUCUGAAACUAUUUUUAAAGAUUCCCUUUCAUGUUGUUGGUUUUUUAUAAUUCUACAUUUAUUCAAAAAAAACCUUAAUGGCAUCUCUGGAAUUGCUGUAAUAAUAUAUUCAAUAAUGGUUUUCCACUCUUUCUCAAAAAAAUAGAGCGUAAGUUACCUUAAGAAAAGGAACAUGCAUUGUAAAUAUGAUUUAUGGUUGAUUUUACUAUAUUAUUGAACUUGCCAGUUCCUAACGGUACAAUGUUGAUGUAUUGUUACCUUUUUUGUAAAUUAAACUAUACAGAGAACAAAACUUGAAA